rnacentral:rRNA from 1 species
UACGGAGGGUGCAAGCGUUAUCCGGAUUUACUGGGUUUAAAGGGUGUGUAGGCGGACUUUUAAGUCAGAGGUGAAAUCUCCGGGCUCAACCCGGAAACUGCCCCUGAUACUAUUAGUCUUGAAUAUUGAUGAGGUGGGCGGAACGGGUCAUGUAGCGGUGAAAAUGCUUAGAGAUGACCCGGAAACACCAAUUGCGAAGGCACUCACUGGGCAAUUAUU